GUGAAAAACCUUUUCCUAAUAUCUUGUUGGGCUUGCCCAUGUUCCAGCUUGCAUCCAUUGCCUCUUGUCCUUCCACCACGCACCUCUGUCUUCCCUACGCCCUCCCGUCAGGUACUCGUACACGGUAAUGAGGUCUCCUCUUAGCAUGCCCUCCUCCGGGUGGAGCAAACCCCACUGCCUCAGCCUCCUUUUGUAUGUCGUGUGCUCCAGCCCCUGACCAUCUCGGUGAUUAUGAAGUAUGGGGAAAAUAAAAACGCUUUUUUAGUUAGCCAGCCUAUUCUGUUUACCUUUGCAGGCGGAAUCUGGUUUUUAUUCUUCUCCAGGGCAAAAGAGGUAAAUGCAUUUUUAUGCCCUCACGGGGCCUAAUGCUUUCCAAACCUGUGAUCCUUGUGCCCUGGCAGUUUGUCACCCGCUUCUAAGGAGGCCACAAAAGGUAACAAAGAAAUGUAAGGUUAUUGCCAGUUAGCUUAAAUUCUGGAUAUCCACAGCUCCAGUAGAAAUAUUUUUAAGGGAUCGCUUCUUGGAAAAAAAGGUUGAAAACAUUUUCUAUAAACCAGAUGUGCAAUAUUCUGUAUAUAAAUUCCUGUUAUUUUCCCUUGACAUCCAGGGAAGACAGGAGUGGACAAGCUUGGAUCCAGAAUCUUAACUGCCAAGAGGGAUGUUACUCUUGGAAAGAGCCGGUUUUUUGGAUAUUUGCUAUGUUUAGUGCAGAGGUAAUAGAUGUGCUCAGGAAUCUCAGUCAGAAAUCAUGGUCAAGCUGAACUGGACAGUGUAUGGAUGUGUCAUGAAGAAGCAAGGUUUUCACUUUUAAAAAUGACAGGAGCACAAACAACCAGAACAGGGGGAAGGUGCUAUACAGCCUUUGUUGCUUCUUCAUACCACAAAAUGGAUGUGGUUCACAUCUGAACGAAAGCAGCCACCUUUAGUGCAAGACUCCAGCCUGCUGCAGUGCUUCUCUGCCCUACUGUGACUGUCUCUAAGGGUGCUGACACUCCAGUUGUUGCUGUCGCAAUACAGUCUUUUCUCCUGGAGAUGUGCUGAGUCUACCAAUUCAUUUUAUGAGGGCAGCCCACCAGCCAUUUUGGAACGCAGGACCUGAUUUGAUAAGCUGAUAAAAGAAAACAAAACUGAGAACAUGUUGGAAGUGCUCAAAGUGAAAAUUACAGUUUAGGUAGGUUUGGGGGUAGAUAGUUAGACAUUUUAAUUGAACUAAAAUAGUUUUAUACUAAUACAGUACUGUUGUGGGAGUACAUUUUGUGGUGCAUUUGAAAUUGAAGAAUUUAAGUGGGGGGAAAUGUAUGUUAAUGCUUUGCAAGAAAGUGAUUUUUUAUACCAUCUAGCUAAGCAAAAUAGCUGUUAAAGAAAUAGCGCUCUCAAGUCUGCAUUGGAGAGUAAAGUGUAAUAACUUUUAUGCUCUUUUAGGAUAAUUUAUCCGAGUGAAGAGUUUGUAUUUUAUCACUUUAGUUGGUAUAUUAAACUGCUAUAGGAAACAGUCAUGUGAAUACUGAAGUAAAUUUGUAUUCCUGGACAACUACAGUAAAGUCAGCCCCUGCUGCUGUGAGGAAAGCUAUUGAGUCAGUCUGGAUUCGUAAAGUCUUGUGUUGUAAACAUCUUCGUGAUAAGGGUGACAGAAAUGAGUCCAGAUGAUGAUUUCUGUUAUCCGCAUGGAAACAAGUGCGUUGAAUUUGGUGUAACAGCUUUGGUUACUCACAGGCAACACUGGCUUGUGCUAAGCAUCAGAAACACCUGUUCAGCACUAGUCUACAGCUGGACUUGCUCAAAAUAGCUAAAUUGAUUAGAAUUACCAUUUUUAUUAUUUUCAUUUAAUUUUGUCUUUGGGGAUUUUCUCUAAAUUUGGAGUAACUAGUCCUACUUUAAAAAAAAAAAAAGCUACCACUUACACAUGCACAUGUAUACGUGCACCUGCAUGUGCACACACACAUACAUAUGCAUACACAAUUAACAAAAGGAGUGAAUUCAAGUUUUUUUAGGUAUAUAUGUGCAAGUGUGUAUAUACAACUAUAUUGUUCAGGUACAAGCUGAAACCAGUCUUAGCCUAAAUAAAUACAGGACACUAAUAGAGGGUUUUGCAAUCUUUUGAAUGCAACUGCUUUUAAAAUCAUAGCAGAGCCACAUGAUAGAGUGCAGAUAAAUUACACUGACCGUAGCUGCUAUCUUUUUUGCAAAUCAACAACCCCCACUUCUCGAGUCAUAUAUUACAAUUCCAUAAUCUUCCAAUUGUGUGCUCAUUUUCUACUGUACAAGCUUCAGUUUGAAGUUCUACCAGAUCUCUUGCUAGUCAUAUUUUAAGAAGGAAAGAACCUAAAUUAAUUUCUUUGAUUCAGAAUUGCGGAAUGGAUUGUAGUCCAUGUUUUGCAAGGAAUUAAGAGGCAGUAAAAAUAAUAUAGCCGUAGAGAGCUAUUCUAGUGCUUGUAACCUGUGGCAGUGGGUGGCUGUGACAGCUGUCCUUGCUAUCCUUGUUUUGCUGAGGGAAGCUGGAGGAAAGCGUGCCUGUUCUUUGCAAGCCUUAGUAAUCAAGCUAUGGCAGUGCGUUAUUUAGUUCAUAGUGUGCCCCGUAUAAAACUAUUUCAACCCAUUUUCCUUGGCAAAGCAGUAGGGAGAUCAAGGUGAUUGUAACACUUACACUUCUGGAGUGUUGCCCCUUUUCUGGGUAAAUGGGCAACCCGGUCAAGUACUUGGACUACCAAUAAGAAAAACAUCAUUUUACAUCUUAACCAAGCAGAUGUGAUGUGGACAUAUAUUUUCCAAAAUAAAAAGACAUCAUUAUAGAACAGUUUGUGUCAGACUAGAAGGAUGGAUUUAACCUAGCUGCAUUUUUAAGAUUCAUAACACUAAAUAAGAAAAAAACCCUCAAACCUUGGAUAAAACCUAAUGAUUUCAGUACAACAAAAUAACAUGAAAUAUUUUUACUUGAGUGUUUUGACUUAUGUGUACAUAUUUCUGUACACAUGUGCUUUUACACAAGUCUGCUGUACUACUUUGUGGCCCUUACUGUCCAGGAGCAGCAAAGGCCGGAUGCUCUGCAAGGAAGGUGAGCCUGGAGCUGACAGUGACAAGACAGGCAGGUGUGGGCAGAGAUCUCAGUGAUGAGGGGCACAGUCCCACAGUGCCCGAACAAAUAGAGCAGAGCAGGUGACAGUAACCAGGGUCUGGCAAUCGCCAGACAAAUCUGUAAUGAUGAGGCAGGUCUGAGGUGGGAAGUCAAGGUGGCUGAUUGGGGGGUCAUUGAAGUACUGGGGCAGGCAGGGGCAUCCCUGCAGCAUCAUCUCAGGACCUUGGUCCUUGCCUGAGCGAACCUUCUCCCAGCUCUUCCUCCCACAGCUCUUUGCCCAGGCCCUGAUCCAAGUGCUCAGGGCUGCAGCACCUCACGCUGGCCUUGGGCACAGGGAGCCAAACCCUGGGUGUGGAGAGAAGAGGUUGCAGAGCCUGCUGGUGUGCUCAGGACCGUGAAGCUUAUAGAAAAAUGUAGAGCAGUUUCAAAUGGUCAGUGAGGACCUGAUGUAAAGCCUGUGGAAAUCAGUAUCAAUCCUGUUCUCAACUCCACUGGGCUUUAGGUCAGGUCUUGGUUGCUGGCAAGGUGGUUGGGCUCUCUAGUCAUGAGUGUGGACCAACCACCUUCAUGAAUAGUUUAAUUGGCCCAAUUGGAGUUACUUUUUCUUGUUGUUGUCUGUUGGCCAUUUUAUUCUAAAUGAUUUUUAAUUAAAAAGUGUACUUUUUCAAGUGCCAUUUAAGGGAAACUGCUUCCAAAUGUGUAAUUAGAAAUGCUUAGCAUUAACAAAACAUCAUUUUUGUAAAAGUAUUAUCUUUUGUCUGAGCAGAAUGAAGGCGAUUUGCAUAUUCAGUUUUAAAAUCCCUAUUUCUUCAUACUAAAAUAUCUGUUCCACAUAAAAUAUCUAUUCCAUGCUCUUUGCAUUAAUUUUGCUUCACUGAUUCCAAGUUGUAGCUCUGGUGCUCAUACAUUCCUCUUUAGGCCCUUAAGUGUGAUGAAUAUAGAAACAAUUACUUCCAGAAGGGCUUGAAAAGGUUAAUAUUAGUGCCUGUGGAACUCUGGUAACGUAUAAGAGUUCAUUUCUUUUUCUUUUGUUUUCCCCUUUGCCGAAGGUGGCCUAUGUUCUUUCUGGAAGUUGCUCGUACCAAUAUCAUCAGAGUAAUCUCAUUUUUUGUAAAGGCCCGGGUUUUUGUUACAGAUUUUCUGUACCAUGCUCAAAAUUCUUUAACUGCAUAAAGGUAUAGCAUACAGCUAUAUAAAAUAAGGUCCAUUGUGACAGCUUUUCUGAAAAAAUGUUGCAGCUAUUCUAUAAGAGGAGUGGGAUUUUAGCUGAUCAUGAAACUUCUUGUAGCUCUGCAUUGGGAUGGUAUUAAUUUUAUUGGACUUAUACUGCAUGAAACAUUUACGUACUUGUGCAAAUAAUUAGUUUGAAAGAAUUUCAGAUUUAAUACGUUAGGUAUUUAUGAACUGUAGCCCAAUAAAGGUUUUAGUAGCUUGUUCUGUCAAGUAGCUUAAUGGCACAUGCAAGUAAUUCUCCUAAUAACUUUGAUUAAUGCCUAGAAGGUCUUCCUAGCUAGAAGCUAAAAUUUCUGAUUUCUUUACUUAAAUGCAAAAUAUAGUAAAACAGUGAGAUUCAGUUAAUUCCUUUUAAAUGUUAAAAUUUCAAACUUCCAAAUAGGUAAUUUUCACAUGGGGAAUAUUGCUGGUCUUUAGUGCAUCAUGAGUGUUUGUGGUUAUUCCAAAGCAGUAGUUAUAAUUCUUAAUCACAGUAAGGAAAUGUGCAGACAGUGUGCUAAUUUGUACAUUAUGCAUUUAAGCAUAACAAUCAAAGAGUACAGCGUAGAUGAGAAAAACCUUAGUGCCCAAAGAUCAAAAAUACCUUUCCCAGACCAACAGGCCAUUCAGCUGGAGACAAAACAGAAGAUCCUUCUUGUAACGUGAUCAGAAACCAAUAUGAUAAGAUUUCAAUUUUUUUUAUUAGAGUCAGUGCGGAAACAAAUAAACAAACUUAUUUUAGAACUUUGAAAUUUACUUUAUAAUUGAAUGUCAAAGCUUAAUUUUUAAAAAGCUUAUCACAAAUGACAGUGUGGAUUUUUAAAACUGUAUAUUUAAAAUCUCCUCUUCAAUCUGUUGUUCAUUUUACUUUCCAACAACUCUGUGUUUAGGCACUGCGAACAUGGAAGUGAUCAUAUCUUUUGCUAAACUUAGAUCUUGUGCUCUUGCAGCUCCAGACACUGAAGCAUUCACAUGUUGCCUUUUUAAAACUAAAACAAGUAAAUAGUGUUUUGACAUGGAUUUAAAAGCUUCAGUGCAGCAGAUAUCUUGAUAAAUAUUGGUUUAGCAUCAAGUAUGACCGUGGUUGCCCAGAGAGGAUGUGGAAUCUCCAUCCCUGUAGAUGUUUAAACUGCAGCUGGACAUGGCCUGAGCAACCUGAAGUAGUUGGACCCGCUUUUGACCAGAUGUCAUCU